GCUCAUGCUGCGAGGCUCCCCGGAUGAAGAUGACACAGUAGGGUUGUGCGGUGUCAGGUAGAUGGCGACACUGAAGCCUGCAAUGGAGGCAGGUGUUGCUUUCUUCUGAUCUCCUCAGAGAUGCUGUGUGAUCUGAUCUGAGUCAGGAGAGGAGUAGACAUUAUGUAAAUGACAGAGCGGAAGGAGGAUUGGCGUGAGAGAGGUCACUGGCAAGGACGCAGAGACUCACCAGCCCUUCUGCCCACAGUGAUCCUUUCUGUGACUGAACGUUGAUGAGUUCCAUCUUGUGCCGGCCUUGUGUGACAAUCACAGCUGCUGAGAGUUCAAGGGUGCAAUGGCAUGGUAAACAUCUGCAAUGGUUUCUUAGGCUCUUCCCUUUUGUUGCUUGGUUCCUGUAAGGUGGACCAGUUGAUCAUUGGAGGGAAACCUGUGAAACCAUGAGCCCAAGUUAAUCCUUUUCUCCCUUGAGAUGUUUAUCUAGGGGAUUUCGUCUUCAUGGCAAAAAGCUAAAGACAGGAGACUACACAGUAUGAACAGAAAUGAAGCUGCAAAGAAGACUC
rnacentral:lncRNA from 1 species